rnacentral:rRNA from 1 species
UACACACCGCCCGUCACAUCACGAAAGUGGGUUGUACUAGAAGCCGGUGGGCUAACCGCAAGGGAGCAGCCGUCCAAGGUAUAACUCAUGAUUGGGGUG